AUUUCUGAAUAGAUUGUAAUAUUUAGUGAAAUUUGACACAUUCCUAAUUCUGUGAGCAAAGUACGAGUAAUAUCAACAUUGCAUUUUUUGUUGUUGAACUGAGAGUUGUCUGAGAAAAAUUUGGCCUCGAUGGCAGUUGGCGAGUUUCGAAAAGCGAAAUUCCUAUGCGACUAAAGAUGUAGACACAGAUUUGAUACCACGUGAUUGAAAAUUCCAUGAAGCAAAAUAUAUUCAACGAACGCUCAAUUCUAUUCGGAAUGACAAGUUGACAUUUAUGGUAUUAUUUGUUAUCACAAACAUCUUACUUGAGUUUCCGUUUCCCGGCAUAGAGUAUGGACAUUUUGCUCUGUUUGCCGAGGAAACGGAAGAUCAUGCCAUUAGCACGGGCUAGCAACAAUUUAUGAAAUCAAGAGGUAUUAAUAAAGAGUAAAGUAUUGUGUAAAAUAAAAGACCUCUGCACCCCCAGGACAAAGACAUAACAGGAAGAAAGCUAGUCAUAUAGCACCGAUAUUGGAAGCUGAGGCCAAGUGCCAAUAAAAUAAGGAAGAUAAGCUGACAAACACAAAGAAAGCGACUCCCAAUUUGGAUGAGUUUUGCAACAUGAUGAUCAAAUCAGGCUUGGAGGCGUUUCUUUCCUACAUAUAUACACCUACCUACCUCAGAAUAUCAGAAAGAAAUAUGAACAAUGGAGUUUCAAGUAGCAGGAGACAGUAUAGAGGAUGGGGAAAAGGGAGAAAGUGUGGUUUCGGAUAAUGGCGUUGGGAAUAUCUGAAAUAUGUUUUAUAUAUUAUGAACAAAAUAAUGCUGAAAUGAUAUUUGCUUAUAUCUAUUUGUUUGGUGAAUAAAAAUCAGAAAAAUUA